GACGAACGCUGGCGGCGUGCUUACACAUGCAAGUCGAACGGAGUUUAGCGAGGAGCUUGCUUCUUGCUAAACUUAGUGGCGGACGGGUGAGUAACGCGUGGGCAAUCUGCCCGUAAGAGGGGGAUAACACCGAGAAAUUGGUGCUAAUACCGCAUAACAUCAUAGGGUUGCAUAACCUUGUGAUCAAAGGAGAAAUCCGCUUACGGAUGAGCCCGCGUCUGAUUAGCUAGUUGGUGAGGUAACAGCUCACCAAGGCGACGAUCAGUAGCCGGCCUGAGAGGGUGACCGGCCACACUGGAACUGAGACACGGUCCAGACUCCUACGGGAGGCAGCAGUGGGGAAUCUUCCGCAAUGGGCGAAAGCCUGACGGAGCAACGCCGCGUGAGUGAUGAAGGCCUUCGGGUUGUAAAACUCUGUCUUCAGGGAAGAAAAAAAUGACGGUACCUGAGGAGGAAGCCACGGCUAACUACGUGCCAGCAGCCGCGGUAAUACGUAGGUGGCAAGCGUUGUCCGGAAUUACUGGGCGUAAAGAGCGCGUAGGCGGGGAUUUAAGUCAGGAGUGAAAACUACCGGCUCAACCGGUAGCCUGCUCUUGAAACUGAAUCUCUUGAGGGUAUGAGAGGAAAGCGGAA
rnacentral:rRNA from 2 species